rfam:Myotis davidii contig85164, whole genome shotgun sequence.
AGGCCUAGAGAGAGAGGCAGGGUCUGAUAGCCUUUGUGGCAGCUGUAGAUCAGCCAUUGCCUCUCUCUUUCUCUCCA